GCCUACGGGAGGCAGCAGUCAGGAAUAUUGCGCAAUGGGGGAAACCCUGACGCAGCAACGCCGCGUGGAGGAUGAAGUCCCUUGGGACGUAAACUCCUUUCGACCGGGACGAUAAUGACGGUACCGGAGGAAUAAGCCCCGGCUAACUUCGUGCCAGCAGCCGCGGUC
rnacentral:rRNA from 1 species